AUGUUGAUCUAUAUUGUUAUACUGCUGUCAUUAACCGAAGGUUACGGAGCCUCAGAAGUCAUCACUCCAAAAAGAAACAGAGAAUUUGCUCUUGAGGGUGACAUUAAUGUGACAGUCUCCUGUAACUACAGCGGUUCUGCUCGUGGUGUUCACUGGUAUCGUCAAUAUGCAGGUUCACCACCACAGUUCCUCAUACUGGAAUAUUCAGGGGUAACAACUCCAGCUAAACCACCCAUUCCAGGAAUAACCAUCAAUCACAGAAAAACUGAAAGCCAUGUGGAUCUGAAGAUCUCCUCUGCUGCUGUAUCAGACUCUGCUCUGUACUACUGUGCCCUGCAGCCCACACUGACAGGAAAACAGACUGCACUCUAA